rnacentral:snRNA from 1 species
AGCUUUGCGCAGUGGCAGUAUCGUAGCCAAUGAGGUUUAUCCGAGGCGCGAUUAUUGCUAAUUGAAAAAAAGCUUUUUAAAGAUGAGAUAGCCUGUAUUUCAAAUAUUUUCUUUCAAAUAAAUAUUAAUUUUCCCUUCCCCCACAAAAAA